AUUAAAGAUUUGAGAUAAAUAAUAAGUAAGAAGUUAAAUUCGAAAAAAAAUAAAAAUUUGGCUACCAGCAAAACCAUCUGUCUUACUUUUUGGUUUGACAUCAAUUUAAUAAGUAUCAUUGUCUGUUGUGCAAACUUGUUUUGUUAAUCUAGGUCUGACGAUGAGCCUGUAGAUUCGAAGCAGGAACUUGAAGAGCGAUGCAAGGCACUAUGCACGCGACCACUCAAAGAAUAUCAGAUGAUUUUGACUAAAUGAAAAUAAACCUUCCUUUUUUGUUUUUUCUAAUUUAAUGUCUACUUCUCCGUUUUUCAAGUUUCCUGUCUUUUGUACUCUUUUCACCCAAUAUUUUAUAUUGCCAAAGCCUAAAUGAAAUGUUCUAUGCAUUUUACAUUUUUUAGUUUUUUGUUCGCUCUUCUUUUUGUUUGAUUAUAUGAUAAUAAAUUAUAAUUUGUCCA
rnacentral:lncRNA from 1 species